rnacentral:rRNA from 1 species
GAAAGACCCCGUGAACCUUUACUAUAGCUUAGUAUUGGCUUUGGAUAAGUAAUGUGUAGGAUAGGUGGGAGACUAUGAAGUGGCGUCGCUAGGCGUUGUGGAGUCGUCCUUGAAAUACCACCCUUUGCUUGUCUAGAGUCUAACUCAGAAAUGAGAACAGUGCUUGGUGGGUAGUUUGACUGGGGUGGUCGCCUCCAAAAGAGUAACGGAGGCUUCUAAAGGUACCCUCAGUACGCUUGGUAACCGUACGUAGAGUGCAAUGGCAUAAGGGUGCUUGACUGAGAGACAUACAGGUCGAUCAGGUUGGAAACAAGAGCAUAGUGAUCCGGUGGUUCCGCAUGGAAGGGCCAUCGCUCAAAGGAUAAAAGGUACGCCGGGGAUAACAGGCUGAUGAUUCCCAAGAGCUCAUAUCGACGGAAUCGUUUGGCACCUCGAUGUCGGCUC